GCCCAGCCCUGGGAUUUUCAGGUGUUUUCAUUUGGUGAUCAGGACUGAACAGAGAGAACUCACCAUGGAGUUUGGGCUGAGCUGGCUUUUUCUUGUGGCUAUUUUAAAAGGUGUCCAGUGUGAGGUGCAGCUGGUGGAGUCUGGGGGAGGCUUGGUACAGCCUGGGGGGUCCCUGAGACUCUCCUGUGCAGCCUCUGGAUUCACCUUUAGCAGCUAUGCCAUGAGCUGGGUCCGCCAGGCUCCAGGGAAGGGGCUGGAGUGGGUGGCCAACAUAAAGCAAGAUGGAAGUGAGAAAUACUAUGUGGACUCUGUGAAGGGCCGAUUCACCAUCUCCAGAGACAACGCCAAGAACUCACUGUAUCUGCAAAUGAACAGCCUGAGAGCCGAGGACACGGCCGUGUAUUACUGUUUUUGUGCACCCCUUAAUGGGGCCUCCCACAAUGUGACUACUUUGACUACUGGGGCCAGGGAACCCUGGUCACCGUCUCCUCAGCCUCCACCAAGGGCCCAUCGGUCUUCCCCCUGGCGCCCUGCUCCAGGAGCACCUCCGAGAGCACAGCGGCCCUGGGCUGCCUGGUCAAGGACUACUUCCCCGAACCGGUGACGGUGUCGUGGAACUCAGGCGCUCUGACCAGCGGCGUGCACACCUUCCCGGCUGUCCUACAGUCCUCAGGACUCUACUCCCUCAGCAGCGUGGUGACCGUGCCCUCCAGCAACUUCGGCACCCAGACCUACACCUGCAACGUAGAUCACAAGCCCAGCAACACCAAGGUGGACAAGACAGUUGAGCGCAAAUGUUGUGUCGAGUGCCCACCGUGCCCAGCACCACCUGUGGCAGGACCGUCAG
rnacentral:lncRNA from 1 species